rnacentral:rRNA from 1 species
GUCUAUGGCCAUACCACCCUGAAUGUGCCCCAUCUCAUCUGAACUCGGAAGUAAGCAGGGUCAGGCCUUGUUAGUACUUGGAUGGGAGAUAUUACUAUUCUUCUGCACUUAGGGAGGAGAAGUAGGAGCAUUGCUC